CUAGCCGUAAAACGAUACUCGCUAGGUGUCGGCCACGGUGCGACCGUUGUCGGUGCCGUAGGGAAGCCGUGAAGCGAGCCACCUGGGAAGUACGGCCGCAAGGCUGAAACUUAAAGGAAUUGGCGGGGGAGCACCACAACGGGUGGAGCUUGCGGUUUAAUUGGAUUCAACGCCGGAAAUCUUACCGGGACCGACAGCAACAUGAAGGCCAGGCUGAAGACUUUGCCGGAUUAGCUGAGAGGUGGUGCAUGGCGUAGUCGUGU
rnacentral:rRNA from 1 species